rnacentral:lncRNA from 1 species
AAAUAAAUAAUGAGAUCGAUCCAUGGAUCGAGUUAGAAACUUACAGAGCUGGAAGAACUGCUGCCUGAUCGAUGGAGUUUCUCAAAGAGAGUAGGUUUCUUCUCCUCUUCCUCUUUUUUCUUGUGCUCUUCCUCUACUUUAGUCUCGGGUUCAGAAACCUGAAGUUUCUCUUCAAAUUCAGUACCAAUCACCUCCUCUUGAGGCUUCUCUUCUUCUUUCUUCCCCAGGAAAUCAAACAACCCGCGAUCCUUGGUCUCAACAGCACCACUCUCUUCACCAACUUUGGUCUCAUACUCAUGGCUCUUGUUUUCCUCAGCCAUACUGAUCAAAAUCACAAUAUGAACCUAAUCAAGAAAAGAUCAAAAUCACAACAGAGUAAUUAAAAUGAGUAAGCUUCUGCUUCGAGUGAUUUGCGCUUGUAACUGAUGGUUUGGGUUUGGGUUUGGGUUAGCAAGGGUGAUGGGCUUUUAUAGCUGGAAGCCAACGCGGAGCUGACGCGAUUAAGAAGUAAUAAAGCCAAGUGAGCUGGGCCAGUCAGGUUUCACUUCUGUAACCGACGUGUAAAUUUAAGUAAGGGAGGAAAUCAAAACGUAUUACUUCCGACAUGUAUAGAAUUAUAUGUACUCGCUUGAAUGAUUGGCUAGAUGUCUAGUAAUUAGAGAUGGAACUCAUGGGAGUGGUGGAGGCAUAAGCGUGUUCAAUACGCGGAGGAAUGUGUAAAGUAGCAGUCUGAAAGGAGGGAAGGAAGUAGAAAAGUUGAGAGGGGUACGCUGUAAUGUUCUGCAAAUGCCUUGGCGACACGUGGAACGAGAACGUGAAUGGCUGUCCUUGAGUGAGACCCGUGGUGUCGGCCUCGAUUGGAUAAAUAUGAAAGUGGGGGCGGUGUAUCUCGGGGCCACAGCAGAUUUUUUUUGUGUGUGUUGAGUGUGGGGUGGGAUUUUUUUUUUCUCAACGUAAAUAAAAUAUAGGUGCUGUAAACGUUUUUAUUAUUAUUAUUGAGAAAAAUUAUAAUGCAAGUUAAAAAGUUUAUAUUUGGGUUUAAUAAAAUAAACCAAUAAUUAUAUAUUAACAAAUGAUAAUAAAUCUAUUUGUUUUAAUUAAAUAUCCAGUUGAAAAGCUGAGGAAAAGAUGUUAUUUCUUGAAAACAAAUAUUGAAUAUUUGUUUCAUUUUAAAAUUAAAAUUUUUAAUUUUUAAUGGUUUUGAAUCAAUAAAAGUUCAAUUUUAUUUUGUUAGUAUUAACUCAAUGUUAAAAUUUAUAAUUGAUAUUGCAAUAACCCAAUUUAAAGUCAACUAGAAUAAACUAUGAAACCUACUUCUAGAUCAGGCUAAUAUGAGGGGAUCAAAUUAAAAAAAAAAAAAAUGAAACUAUCAAACUAAGAUGCGCCCUUAUAUGAUUUUUAUUCAUUUGAUUGUUAAAAAUAACAAUCAAAUGAAUAAAAAUCAAAUUUAACAUAUAUAUAUAAAAAAAACAACAUAGAGUUAAGCGCAAAACUCAACAAGAGACGGAAAAAAAAAGAAAAGAAAAAAAAAACCGGAGAGCCCUUGUCUCAAUGGGCCAUUAGAUAAGAAACUCCUCACCGUGAUGAUUUUGUUGGCACCAUGUAAGGGCGCAUCUCGAGCUUGGUAGUCGUUGCAAUUGUCGUCACAAUAUUGUGUCAUUUCUAAGUUAUUGGUGCAUGUGCUACAUAUGAUUAUUAUUUUUUUCAAGUUCGUUCAAUCUAGUCACUGGUUUCAAAAAAAAAAUGAUUGAACAUUUAUUUUAGAUUCAAAUUUGCCUUAUAAAGAUUCAUUUAUUUUAAAUGUGUCUAGUUGAUUAUCAACCGAGCAUUAAAAGUUUUUUUCAACAUGUCAAGAGCUCCAUGUAAAGUAAAGUAAAACAAAUUAUAAAACUGAAAAGCAAAUCAAUUUAUUGUGAAAAUGAUCAAAUUAAAAAAAUACGAGAGGGUGAGAUUAAAAAAAAGGCAAGAGUGAAAGAAAUAAACAGGAGAGGUGUUCGUUGUUCAAAUAAGCAGCAAAGCAACCUCAGAUAUUUUAUUGUUUUCUCUAGUAAUAUACAUGGAAUGGCUACUAAAUUUAAUUUUAGAAACGGAUUAUUUAUAUUAAGAUUAGAAGAUUUAUGGGAAAAUAUAUUCUUAUCACACAAAAUUAUCUAUUCGUUUAAUUCAUUUUGGUCUAGAACUAUUAACUUACUAAUUAGAUUAAUUAUUGGAUUACUGAGUUAUCAAGAGAUAUUGAAACAUAUAUUUUAUAAACAAAUUAGUAGAAGAAGUAAAGAAUGGCGGGCUUGGAUUUUAUAAAAUUAAUUAAAUUAACAUAUCAAUUUGUAUAGAUAUCUAGUAUUCAUGAUUUGAAAGAUCUACACGGGAGGAACUGGGAAUUCAAGGUUAUAGAAGCAGGGGGGUAUAUUAAGAUACAAAAAUCAUUUACACAUAAAAAUAUAUAUAUACAAUAAUUAUAGAUUUUAACUAAAAUAUACUAUUUUUUUUACUAAAAAGGACUUUUUAUAAAAAAUAAAAUUUAUAUAAAAUAACUAUUAAAUUUUGGUCAUCAUUUUAAACUUUCAGAGGGGUCAUGUGCACUGGGCCUCUUAUUCGGUAGCAUUUCUACCUCAGUGACCAGCAGAAUCACUUACAAACUAGUUAAUUGGCAGGGUUAGGGUAUAAAAAUCUAUCUUGACCUAUAAGAUCCGACUUUUUUGUAGCCUUGCCUUUUUUGGAUUACCUGCCUUAGUUGAUACCGUGGUAUUUUUUUAUAAUUAUAAUUUUUAAAAAUAAAUUUAUAAAUUAUAUUUUUUUAAUUAAAAUUUUAAAAAAUAUUUUCUAGUAAAAUCAAUAUAAAAUUAAAAUGUAUAUUAAUUAAUCAAGUAUUUUCAUAUGUAUAGUCUGGAGGUGGUUAAAAUCAUGGUAUAAAGUGUUUUUCAUAGUAUUUUUUUGUUUAAAAAUAUAUUAAAUAAUAUAUAUUUUUUAGUUUUAAAUGAAAAUAUAAUAAAAAAAUAUUAAUUUAAAAAAUUUAACUGCACAAAUCUGAAGACAAACCGCAAACCACGGAGCGUAAUCCAUUUUUUAAACAGUAAUUAUAAGAAUCCUAUGUAAGUAUUCAGGAUUUAACCGUACGAAGGGUCUGGGCGUCGUUCCUCGUCAUCGGAAAAAGUACCCCGAGUUGGGUGGGACCUGAGGGCGGUUUCGUCGGCAAGAAACUGAGGAAGGGAAGGGUAUCUCGAGAUUUGCGACUAGCAGGUUUGUGGUACGGUUCAUGUGUGGUGAGAGGCAAUAGUUUAAGGUGAUAAAUCGCUCUUUGACGUCGUGGAUGCGUUACUUGAGUGGACAGAUUGUCGGUUUAGUGUUGCCGAUGAUUGCAUUUCCAAGAUAUUUAUUUAUGAAUUACACACUAAUCCACUUUUUUUGUGGAGUGGUCUUUUGUGUUUGGCACAUGUCCACGUGUGAUUGCAAGUGACUGCUUCCAACCAUUCCAACUUCCAAUUGUUUAUUUAAUUAAAUUCACAUCAGCAUCAACUAUUUAUUAAAAUACCAUUAUUUUAAAAAGAUCUCAAUGCCAGCAGUUUUGGUAUUAUUUUUUUAACUUUGUUUGUGAAGUUAAAACCCCCCCCUGAAACCCAACUUUUAGAGCUCAGCUAUUGGAAGGAUUAUCUCUUUUAGGCUCCACUGAAUUAUACUUUUUCUAAGCCUAUUAAGUGUAUAAAGAUUCUUUAAUAAGCAUAUUAUAUUUCUAUUGAUAUUGACAUUAUAUAAGAAAUAGUAUGUAAUUUUUUUUAAACCUCCAUCAUAUUUUUAUCCAUUUAUAUGUGAGAGAUAUUUCUCAUCAACAUUAAUAUAUAUAUAUCAAUGAUAUUUUUUAUUUUUAAUAUUAUUAGAACAACAUUACAUUUUAGUCAUUUCUCUACACUGAAAGACUCGUAAGCUGUAAAUACAUCAUGAAUCAUUUAAAUAAAAUGUUCGGAAUCUUAAUUCUUUACUAAAUGUUUAUUUUUAUAAUAUCUAUUUGUAAUAUUAUUGUAUUUUCUUUUAAAAAAAUCACUAACUUAAUCAUUUGAGAGUUUUUAAAUUUACCAAAUAGAACCUCUUGUAAGUAUAAAACACCGGUCUUCAACUACCUUGGUUGUGAAGAAUAAAUUUGAUUGUCAUAACAAAAAAAAUUAACUAAUUAUCCUAGAAAUAAAUAAGUGUUGCCCCAGAUUAUUUGGAUUGUUCCAUCAUAAUUUGUGAAAGUGAUCUCAUUAAAAAAAUAUAUCAUGAUAUAUAAUCUUGAAUAAAAGAAGAAAAAUCCUUUCAAUUGGACCGAAACUUAAUUUCCAUUUAUGAGGGACUAAAUUAGAUCAAUCAUUAGUAUAGAGAUUAUCAACGUAAUUUUUUUAACUCGAAGACUAAUGGUACUUCGAUAUUGUGAGGGGGUCCUAUCCCAUGACGUUAGGAAUACGAAAAUAAAAAAAAGAAUGGACAGAAAAAUCAAAAGACGAUAAAGGCCGGUAGGAAUGGUCAGGGUCAUGGCUCACAGCUAUCGCUUGUAUUUCAGGCUGAAAAAACAUGGGGUCCUUUCCGUCGGAAAGCCAUCCAACUCAGGAUGCAUUAGAAUCAUCACUAGUUUUGUUUUGUACCCCCGUUCCAAGGCGGGGUGACUUUUUUUUUUCCAUAAAAAAAAAUAAUAUACAAGUUUUCUAGUGUAUUUUUGAAUUCUUUUUAAAAUUUAAAUUAGUAUUUAAAUAAAAAACAACUAAGAUUAAGAUGUUUAAUAUCAUAAUAUGAACCAUGUAUUUAGCCGUAUUUAACAACUAUAUUUCUUAAAAUAUUAUUUCCAUUCAGUGAAAAAUCAUUUGUGUCAAUAAAAAGUAAAAAAUAAAUACAACUUAGUAUUGAAUGAAGAAACUAAAAAAAAAAUCACAAACAAGCAAUGAAAAUAAAACGACCCGAGUCAACUUGCAUAUAUGCGGUAACCCCGCGAUCAUAGAUACAUGAUUUGGAUAACCCUAUAGGAAGAAAAGUGACAAGAAUAGCAUGAAGACCAAAUCUGAAAAAUUUAAAUGUUGAAAGAUAAAAUUAAAAAAAAUUGAUCUCGUAACACGAAACAUAUACUAAGUUGUGUUUAAUAAUUAUGUUUCUUAAAAUAUAUUUUUAUAUAAUGAAAUGAUUAUCUAUGCACGUAAAAGGUGAAAAAAAAGCACAAUUGAAAACGAAUUGAAUAAAAUCAUAAAGUUCAACUAUAAAACAAUCUAAUGUUGGUUAAUAAAACUAAAAAAAAUGACAAUUGAAAAAAAAAUAAAAAGUAAGAUUUAUAUCAACUCUCGUUAACCAGCCAAUCUCGUGAUCAUAAACACAUAAUUGAGAUAAUCACAUAGAAAGAAAAGUAAAUAAAAAAGCACGAAGACAGGUUCCUAAAAAAUUAAAUGUUGAAGAAAAAUUUUGAAUAAUUAUUUUUAAAAAAAGACAUAAUAAAAGUCAACUCGUGCUAACCUUUAAAACUUGUGACUUUGAUCACAAGAUAGGGACUUAAUGCUCAAAAAACAAAAAACAAUUCUUAAUAAAAAUAUGUAGAGGCAUGAAUUUUUUUUUUAAAAAAAUUAUUCUUAAAAAGCAAGGAAAAAUUGAGUAAACCAAGGUUAAUAUGCUAACCUCUUAACCAUAGAAACAAGAUUGAGAUAACCUCGUAAAAAAAGGUAAGAAAAAAAAGCUCGAAGACCAAGUUUUAAAAAUAAACAUUGAAGGAUAAAAUUGAAAAAAUAAAAAAUAUAUAUAAAAAAGACCAAAGUUAACCUUCAAAACUCGUGAUCAUGGUUAUGAGGCCGGGCUAACCACGUAGAAGAAAAAUCUAAAAAAAAAGAAGCAAGAUUCUUGGUAAAAAAAGAUUGAGGCAUGAAACUUAAAAAAAUAAAAAUAAAAAUAGCAACAAAAAUAACUUGAAUCAACCUGAGUUAACUCACUAACCCUGUGACCAUGGGCAUAGGAUUUGGAUAAUCUCAUAGAAAGAAAAGUAAAAAAAGAAGAAGCAUAAAGAUCAAUUCAAUAAAAAUAAAACAUUGAAUGAUGAAAUAAAAUAAAUUAAUUUUAUAAAAGGAUCUAAAAAAAACCAAAGUUAAUUCAUUUUAACUUUUAAAACUCGUGGCUUAUUAAAAAAAUGCCAAGGGAUGAGAUAUGAAAAAAAUAUAACAAAAAAAGAUCACAAACAAAAUAAAUACUAGUACAAAAAAAUAGGGGCGAAAUCUGACAUGAAAAAAAUUAAAAUCAAAUGAUAAAGGAUGAAAUUGAAAAAAUAAAUUUAUCAGUGAAAGAAUUUAAAAAUAUCAAAAAAACAACAAUCAAACUUGAUAUAAAAAAAGUAAUAAAUAAAUAAAUUGCAAUUAAAAAAAUAAAAACUAAAUUAAAUAUGAUAAGAUAUUCUUAUACUUUGACAAACCAUUUUAUUUUUUAUUAAUAUUUUAUAUAUGUGAAAGAUUAAAUUAUCCAUAAAUCAAUUUUAUUAUAACAAAAAAACCAAAAUAAAAAGGUGAAAAGCGAAUUGAAAAGAAGUUUUAUUCCUUGUCCCUCCUAUAGCAAAUGACUAAUCUGUGUUUAGAAAAUAAAAAUAUCUAAAAUGCCCUUGGUUGCAAGUUUUUUUUUUUUUUACAAGGCUAGAUAAAUCAUUUAACUCCUUGUAAUGAAAAUAAAAAAUCAAGUUCGUCUUUAAUCAACUUGAAAAUAACUAGUAUGUCUAUACGAGAAGGCCAAAUCACCUCUUAUUUGCCAGGUUGGUGUAUGUUUUUUUGAGGGUCAAAGUGAAAGUGAAAGUGAAAAAAACACUGUACUUUCCCCCACAUGAUUAGUUCUUUGAAUCACAUUGAUUAGAUCACACAAAAUUUUAUAGUCAAACCAUACAAAAAUAUAUAUUACAGUGCGAGUAUUUUUCCCCCCCGUUUGCUGCAAUAAUUUUCUUUAUUUGGUGAACUAUAGGAAAUUUUUAGAAAAAUUAACAAAAGAAUAAAGAAAAUGGCCUGGCCAGUUCGGGAAGCAGGUUCCGUUUCCACUGAACGAACUUCGGGAACGGCCCGAGCCAUAGUCAAGAAACGAGCUAGGCGAGCUUAAGACCGAUAUUUAAAAUUUUACGCCAGCCCAAGAGGCUUCAAAACCCAAGCGAGAAGGUAGAACACACAGCAGAAGUAUCAGGUAAGCACCUAAGAUAUCACCCACAUAAUUGAACUCUAUCAAUCCAAUUUAAAAUGGAAAGAGACUGAAAUACCAGUUGAAAUAAUGGGACAGAGCACAACGGAGAAUUUUCAAUUCUAUGUGAAGCAUCAAUCUCAAUUCCCUGCGUUUAGUAUGGAUCAAGCCUCUUUGAUGUAUGUGACAAGAGAUUCCCCCCCAGCACUAGACAAACCUUUACUUCCAACAUUUCCAUCAUCUUGUAGCUCACUAAGUUCAACUGCCGCCUGCUUCCUUGAAACCAAACCAUGAAGACAUAGAAAACAAGAAUCUGAUUCUUCCCCUUGGAAUUUGACCCUUAACAAUGACAGAUUCAAUUUCAUUUGACCUCGGAUUGAAAAAAAUAGAGAGGCUCCCAAAGGUCAGAUUAGAGGUGUCAUAUAAUUCGUUCAAAUCAUCAAUUUCCUUGAGGCCAUUAUUUGCUUUGUCAAUCACAGUUAAUGGCCUUCUGCUGGCCACUCUCAAUAUACUAGCUGCUUUCACCAUCCAACUGAGAAAAGCUCCAUGCAUUGUUGCUGGAUUCUGUUCGCUGGUUGCCUCUCUUGCAAAGAAAACUCUUCCAUCCCCCAAACUCCCAGCAAGAAUCAUAACCGUCUCCUGAAGACCCUUCUGCAACAUGAGAAUAAGAUCCACUGCAACAUGAGAAUAAGAUCCAUAUGUCAAGCAAUCUUUUCCCCCAACGAGUAUUGAACUGGAUCUGGAACAAAAAUUCCUUUUGGAUGGAAAAUACCACGCAAUAUGACUAGGACCCUUUUCACAGGCUCCACUGGAGACAUAGUCUCAAACUUGACGGCAGCAUCCCCAGAAACUAGAGCAAUUAGAAGAGCACCCCCUGAAACAGAAGAACAGCUAUUAAACAGAAAAAACUCGCCUCUCAUGCUUGAAUUUCUGUCAAAUGACCAAAUGUAUCAGUUUUUCCUGCCCAAAAUUAUAGGGAAACAACAAUGCCACCUUAUUUAGCAACCCAUAUCCUAGUCUGAGAAUGACAUCUUUCUUUCUUUGUGGAAGCUCACGGACAAAUUCAAUGGAUCCCUUCUUAAGCACACCCAACAGGACUGCAAAGCACCAUAUCCCCAAGAAACUCCUGUCUAUUGGCAUAUACAAUAACCCCAUCAAUUCCACACCCUAUACUCUCCAGAGUCCUCUCAUAGAAAAUCGGGCGGUCCUUUGCAAGCUCUCUAACAAAAGUAACAUUACCUCCUGGAAUAAAACAAUGUUCACCCCCCAUUUCACAAGGAUCAUCCUGAUCCCAGUACGCCAUAGACAAAUAGACAUUCAAGAAGCAUUUGCAUAUUCCGAAUUUGCAAGAUGCCAAUUCAACAACAUUAGCUCUUGUGGAUCCUCAGCCACCUUAUACACAUGCGUAAAAGCUUCAAGCGCAUUUCCUAGAUUAACAUGUACAGAUUUAACUUCCUCAAUUAUAGCCUGUCUAAGCUUACAAACUCUAUCUAAAAAGUUACUAAAAGAAGCCUCUAUCCUAGAAUCAAUCUCGGAGACAAAUAUCUCUCACCUUAUGUAGGUGCAACCCCAUUUUCCUUGCAAGAACUCCAUGUGGAUUCCCAUUUAUUCCAGUAAGAACACUCGCUCCAACAUCCGCCACAGCCACCACUCCUUCACCCUUCCUUUUCAUUGUCUUUACACGCCCACCUGGCCGCGCAUUCCCUUCCAAAACAAAAAAUUUAAAGCCCAUAGCCAUUGACUGUCUGGCUGCAACCAACCCGGCGAGUCCCGCGCCAACAACAACCGCAUUAGCUCUUCUACUCCGUCGUUUAAUUUCACCUGCGCUUCUUCAAUAGCCCGCGCCAUGCCAAAGUUAAUGUUGCCAUGUUGUCGCAGAAAAUUAUAAGCAGAAUCCACAACUGCUUUGAGCUCAGCCCAAAUAGACUCAAGCGCAUGCCCACGAGUUAACCAAGCAGAGAUAUAAGAUCUCCAACGAGUAAGAAUAUGGUUUCUCACCGCAAUAUAAUUAGCUUGCUCUCUGCCCCCAAUCAUAGACACUACAUUAGCUUCAGUUUCUUCUUUGGUUAGCGAAUCGACAGGAAAACCGACGGAGAUUGCUAUUAAUGCCUCGACAUCGACUUCUUUUGAAAGGCCGGCGCCAAUUCUGUGGAGGCAGAAGGAAGGAUUGCCGAAGAUUUCGGUGAAUAAGCGUUUUCUACAGCGUCGUAUUUGGUUAGUAGAGCAGGGAAUGUGGAGCUAGGGUUUCGGGUUGCUGGAUGGGGUCAGAAGAGUCGUCCUGGGAGUCUGAAACUGGAGCUUCGAGUGUUGUAUUGGGAAAUGAAGAGUGCGUUUCUGAUGAAGGUGGAAGGUUGUUUUCCGGUGAGCUUUGGUGGUCCUUGAGGUCGGGUUUUUGGCGAGGAGUCGUAGGAGACGACAUGGUGUGCGUUAUCGGAGGGGUCUUGAGGAGGCUCGGCGGUUUUUUCCAUCUAGCUUAUGGUGUCUUAUUAGUGCACUGCGCUUUUUUUAAACUUUGCCUGGAAGUCAAAGGAUCCUAAGCUGGGCUUCUUGACAGAACAGGCCCAUUUAUUUUUUAAUUUUCGCUAUUUAUUUAUUUUCUUAAUGCUAAUCACUACUAAAAGAAAGAAAGAAAAUUCCUGGACCAUAUCUUUGUAAGAUCUAUUAUUAGAUUUUAUAUACUAUAUAUAUAUUUUUUAAAAAUCUUUAAUAUACUAUGUGAGUAGUUUAAAUAUUAACUCAUUAUUACAUGAAGGAGAGAAUCUUGUUUAUCGACUUAAAUCAAAUAAUUAAAAUGUUAAAAAUAUAAUAUUUAAAUAUAAAUAACAAAAUAAAAGAUCAAUUAAAAUUAAUAGUAAGAAUAAUUUAAAUAAAAAAUACAGAACAUGAAAUACAAAUUUAUAAAACAAAAUAUAAAAAAUUGAACAUAUUCCGAACAAUCCAAAAACACAUGGAACGAAAUUGGAAAAAAGUUAUCAUCAUUUUUUUUUGAAAAAAUUGUAUUAAUCAGAAAAUAAAAGGAAUGAGUUAUGAAAACUAUAAUAUUUAAAUAUUUUAAAAAUUUAUGUCUAAUAAAUCUUAAAAAAAGGCGGUCAAGGAGUGAGGAAGAAGUCAAGGCAUGGAAAUCAUCAGACCCUUAGAAAUAUACCAUAACCUUUAAAUUUUAAAAAUAACAAAAGAAUUAUCAAUAUUAAUUCCCAGCAAAGUUACUAAUUUCUUCUAAAAAAGAAAAGUAAAAACAAAAAUCUCUAAUUCAGUACAGCCCAUCGAGCGGAAGCCCAUUUGCACAUAUUGAGCCCAAACAAUAGAGAAUUUUUAUAGGGACAGAGGCACGCAACUAACCCGAGCCAGACCGAAAAAUCGAACCUCCCAACCUCCACGCUCUUUCUUUGGUUCCGUAAGGGUCUCCAUUGCUGUCUCCUCCUCGAGCUCGAAGAGGAAAUAAAAGAGAGGGAGAUAGAGGCGAAGAGACAAACGAUAAAGAUGAUAACGCGAUCGAAUUUGGCAGACCAGUUAAGAGAGUAUCAGAUUCGAUCCAAGCAUGAUUGGGCCUCUGUCUCCUUCUUUUCUUCCGCUUCUAAUAUCAGCUCUUCAAGGUACGUGCCUUUGGCGUAUCCCUUCUUAAACUUUUCAAUUUCAAAGGUUUUUCAUUUCUUGAUUGUUAGUUUGAUUGUUAGAUCUCCGUUCUUAAAGUGUUGUGAUUGCAAAGAAAUUAUAGUUUGUUCAGGUUAGAUCAGCUAUGGUUUGGAUUCUUUUUGACGGGUUGUGGGUUUUUCUUAAGGAAUUUUGAAAAUGAAAGCUAAAAUUGAAGCUUCAGAGGAUUUUUUUUAAUUAAUUGAAUCGGUUUUUAUAUAUAUAUAUAUAUAUAUAUAUAUAUAUAUAUAUAUAUAUAUAAGUGGAACCCCCCCGGGGUCAGCUUGAACAUCAGGGAACUUCAUUACCAGAUGAAGAAGCAUGCUUGCUUGUGUAUGAGAAAAUUUGAGGUGAUUAAGAAAAAAAGGAAGGAAACUAGUUGUUUAGAUAAAUCUAAACGGGUUCCUGAAAGAUAGAAUUUGGAAAUGAUCUAUUCUCGAGCAUUUUUGUAUGGAGUGUCUAUCGUUGAGGUGCGAACAUGCAGUUUAGUUGUAGCAGGUUGAAGCCAUUAUUACAUCUAGCAAAUUAACUAUGUAUAUUUGAGCAAAAUGUGAAGAGAGAGAAAUGUAUAGUGGGUUUAGAGGCUUGAACACUUGAACUCUCGAGGAAUGAUUAUAGCUGUUUGAUAGAUGCUGGUGUUGUAUCACUUGCAGGAAAAGAAACACUUUUUACCGGUUACUAGAUGAUUUCGAUCAUAUGCAAGCCAAUUAUCACACAUUAAGAGCAUGUUUGGAUGUGUGAAAUUUCUGUGAAUCUUUUGUUGGAGUAGCAUUUAUGAGUAAAUCCUCUUUUAUGCAGCUUUUUUUUUCAAUUUCAUGCUCUGAAUGGGGGCAGCAAGUAUCCGUAGCACCUAAAGGUCGUAAUUUUCCUAUUACAGCUGCUUCCCAUAUGCAAAGCAAAGAUGCAAAAUGAGCCGGAGAUAAAAUGCUUUUAAGAUAUAUCCUUGUUAAUUUCUUGUAGACAAAACUCUGAUAUUAAUUCACCAAGAACAUGGAUGUCCACACUCCACAAAGGACAAUAAAAAUAAAGUUGAAAUGAAAACAUAUUGUGAGCAUAGGAAUAGCUUAUGAAGGUGAUAAAUAGUGAGGAUUAAAACAGAAUAUGAUCCAUUUUCUUAGGAAAGAUGUCAGUUUGGUGCUAGGGAACUUCUGACUUUUGCCUGCAAUUUCAUGCACGUGAUUUUUGGGAUGAGAAGCUGAGCUCUAAAUUUGGAUCGAAUGAGGCAUUGGGUGUUGUUGUUCAGGGAAAGAUAAUGGAAUUGAGUUCUGUAGCUGAUCAUUGAUACUCUAUUUGAUUGGGUGUUGAAGGGAACUUGGGGGAUUGAAAAGGUUGUUUAUAGUGAGAUUUAACAUAGGAUACAGUUUUGUCACAUUUCGAUCAUUUUUGAUGUUAGUAGUUUCCUGUUGGAACUUUUGAAAAGGCAAAAGCAGUCCGGAGAUAAACUAGUGUAGAUACCAGAUUAACUCAAUUGUUUGUGACUUGUGUAAGUCGGAGAUAAUAAUUCAAUUGAUAAUGUUUGGGACAUUUGCCUGAUAAAUGCGAUUCAGUUAUUUUUACUUUUGUACACAGUGGUUGGGUGGUUGCAGAGCUAAACUAAAACUGAGGGUGGAUUUAUUUUCCUGCCCUGCAUAGAUUUGGAUAUUUCAUGUUGCUGGUGACAUUUCCUGGCAAUUCAUUUUAUCAAAUAUUUACUUUUAAUGAGUGAAAGUUUCUCAUGCUUGGUUAUCAUAGCUUAGAGAAUACUGAUACUCAACUCAUCUACAAUAGUCCCUGCAGUGUUAUUGUCCCUGAAUCAAUCUUUCUUUGUAUCAUCUAAGAUGGCAUCGAUUCUGACUUUGUUUCUUCUCUUUGUCCUGUGUAUGCUUGCAGGGUGGACGUUGUGGUGUUUGUAAUAUGGGAACUUUUUAUCAUAGCAUUCUUGGUUUUCUCUGCAGUUUCUUUAUAUUUUAGGCAUAUGCGACUUGCGUUUAUCCUAGUAUGCAUCACUUUGCUAUUGCUUAUAUGCAUGAAAGUUACAAAGCAAGUUCGAUUGGCUAGGAAAAAGAAGCGAAGGAUGCUUCUUCCUUUAUCUAUGUAAACUUUACUAGCAGCGAGCCUUUUCCUAAACCAACACAACUUUGUUGUGUAGAUUGAUACAAUUUCUGACCUUUGCAUUGAUCCUUUUCCCCCUGCUUUAUUGCAAUGUUUAAUUGUAUACCCAAAGCAAGUUGAUCAAGGGAUAUGGUGAGGUGAUCAAUAAAAUGGAUGCUAAUUGAAUUGGAGAUUUCUCAUCACUUGGAAUGGAAGAUUGAGAUGGUUUUGUUUGAGGCGGUGAGCUAGUGACAGACAUCAAAUGUGGGUUGGGUGGGUGCUGGUGUUAGAAAGGUAUUGUUUCUUUUUUGCUACAUGCUUGUAGCAUGGAUAGCCGCUUUAAGAAGCUUUAGCCAGGCUUGAUUUAUGAGACCAAUGUUUUUAAUAUGUAUGGGAUACGAUUUUUGUUUUUGCUGGUAUACAUCCCUAAUGUAAAGGAACGAGUUGGUGUUGAGAAUUUCGGAGACUGUCUUUCUCAUAGUUCCGAUAAACAAUUACCCUCUGCAUCUGCAUGACUCUGUACAAGCCCUGACAGAAUUAUUUUUUCUGGAAUUUGGUGUGAUAUAUAUAUAUAUAUAUAUAUAUAUAUAUAUAUAUAUAUCAACUAUAGUAUCAGAUGUUACAUGCCAAUAUCAAGAGUAAAGAUUCAGACACUACAAACUAAGCUGGUGCGAGGGGAGAGAUUCUUCAAGCAGUGGCUGUGCUUGUCUCUCCGAAGGCAUUUUAUCCAACGAAGAUCGGAUUUAUAGCUUGGUUUUAUAUCAACCCUAGAUGCAGUGCCGACUGCCAAGGGUCGUCAAUUUUGUUAGGACCCUGCUUACCGAGGCUUGAAGAAGUGAAUUUCGAUCCCAAGUCACAGCAGUCCAUAUUGCUCCAGCUACCACUAGUAUGCUAAGCACCAUCCCCGAGACUCCCAGUAUCCAAUUAAGGCACCAAAUUGCACCAUAUUUUGUGGGGUUUUUAAUCAUUAUCCACUUGAAACUUGGAUAUGCUAUGGUAAUUGGAAGUGCAAUCCCUCCAAUCAAUCCUGCCAAACUAGUCAAGGAAGGAAGUGCCACGGAUGUAAAGAAUGCCAAGCAUCCAAAGAAGAUCUGAACACUGUUCGCAACCACCGUGGACAUGGUUUCUUGAUUUUGCCCGUAUAUCUGAUCUCCAAAUUGUCAAAUACUGGCAUUGCAUAUAUCUGAAACGAGCUGAGGCAGCUAAUGACAACGAAUAGGCUUGUUAAUCCUAGUAGCGACUUAGAGGUUUCAUGUCCGUGAUAUUCCUAUCGAGCAUUCCUCUGUUUGGCACCUGCUCAUUAGAAGCAGAACACAACAUGUUAUUGUUUCAAAAACGAGGCAAGGCAACAUUUUUCAUAGUCCUUGUGUUGUCGAGGCCUUAGUUUAUCCUCGAGAGACCAUUAAAUAUUUGUGCUUACCAAGUUACCAAAGCCCAAUACCCCCCUAUUGCACGAGGAAACAAGCACAUUGCCGUGAUCAAAUAUGCCAACUUUACCCCUCUCCGCAACGGGACGGUUGCUUUGCGCUGGAAGGCACAGUCCCCUGAAACAUUCAGCACAAAAAUCAUAUGACCAGAUCCAAUGCAAGUUCAAAGGAAAAAAGCAAAAGCGAUUGAUGUAUAGACUGUCUUAUCUUCGACCUGUUUCACGACCAAAAACUAGUAUUUAUAUAGUUAAUGACAAGAUCAUUUAUAAGAGAAGUUCUUUAUGCAUCAGAAAAUGCAUGCAAGCUGAAUAAACUACAAGGUACUUGUUAAUAAAAUUGAAAUUUGAAGCGUAUGUGAUUAAGAUGGACUGAUAUCUGGCACGAAGAUGAUAUAUACAGGCAUGAUGAUGCUCACCGAAAGCAGCCAUCGAUGGUCGGAGGUAUCUGCCAUAACCCAUCUCGGACUCCGAUUCGUUUAGCUGAAUCAAUAGUCAUAGAGUGUAUAGCUGCCACAUAAAAACUCGAGAUAGACAUAGAAUUCCCCAAGUCCUGCAGCCAAAUUGAAAAAAAGAAAAACUAAAAAUUAUAUUUACAAAAGCUAAACAAUUUUAUUAAUUAAAAUAAAUUAAUUUUCACAGUUUUUGCUUCCUUGUUUAUUUAGCUACAUAAUUUAAAAAAUAAAAGAGGUAUUCUAAGAGAAAUCUUUACAGGAUCAGAAUAAAAAGAUUCAAUCAAUACGAAAAGGAGUAAAAAAGAUUCCAAGAGAAAAUGCUCUCCAUUUAUACUUACAACAUGAGAUUGAUAAACUUGUUAUGUUUUUAAUUUCCUUUUUAAUUUUAUCUUCUCUUCUUUUGUAGUUCGUACAAAGUAACCUGGAAAACAUCCCCCACCAUAAUAUUCAUUCAAACAAAUUAUACUCGGUGAGGGCAACAUGCAAGACAUCUGAAAUCUAUGUAGAGGGUAUAAACAGAUCUAGAAAAUAAGAGUUCAUUCUAUACAAUAAAUGACACAUGGGUUCAUUCAUAUUAGAGUUAAUACCAACUUCAUCAUUAAAUUGUGGUUCCCAUGACCUUAAAUGCUGUAAUUCGUGCAAUCCCUCAAUCUAAUGUCUUGAAAGAAUUAUUUAGAAACAAUAAUAUAAAUCAUAUCUUGAAAUUUUAUCUAACAGUUUAAUUUUUUAGAUUGAAUUGAUUUUUUUUAAUAUAUAAUAUCAGAACAUUAAUGAUCAAGUGGUCACGAGUUUAAAUCUCAUUAUCUUUAUUUAUUUGAUAAAAAUUAAAUACGAGGUAAUAUAAACAUGUAUAAAUUUCAAGUUCAAAUAACUUUCACUUGAAGAGAUAUCUUAGAAAAUAGAGUUCUGCUUUCAUUGUAAAAAACAAAAUCAUUUUUAGUCUUGUUUUUAAAAGUAAAACACCCUAUAACAUCAAUAAAUUCAUAAAUAAUUUUGAAACAAAUUUGAAUUGGUUAAAAUUUAAAAAUAAAAUCUACAUUUGAUUUACUUUUUAUAACAACAUGAGGGGUUAAAAACAUCUAAAUUAAAAUCUUUCAUCGAAUGGAAUUCAUAAAUACCAACAUCAAUUGUUUUAGUUGUUAAAAUGUAAUCAGUAACUCUCUUUGUUCUCCCUAAACUCGGGGACUGAAACUUCAAUAAAAUAAAAUUUUGAAUCAAAAUGUAAAAGUCAAAAACCAAAAGGAUCAAGACUUUAAACAAAACAACUUUAGGGAUUGAAUUUUUAAAAAACAUACCUUAAAAAAUAAUAAAGGCUACUUUUUUUGUUCACUAUCAAGUUUAGUCCUCAGAGUUUAAAGCUAUUUUUUACAACAAAAUUGAAUCUUAUCUUGUUAAAUUAAGUAUCACUUUAAUGCUAUAAAGAUUUUUUUUGAUACCACAAUAAAUUCAUAAAAAGCUAAUUAAAAUGA